ensembl:snRNA U1 U1 spliceosomal RNA
AUACUUACCUGGCAGGGGAAACACCAUGAUCAGGAAGGUGGUUUUCCCAGGGUGAGGCUCAUCCAUUGCACUUGGGAUGUGCUGACCCCUGCGAUUUCCCCAAAAGCGGGAAACUCGACUGCGUAAUUUCUGGUAGUGGGGGACUGCGUUCGCGCUCUCCCCCG